rnacentral:rRNA from 1 species
GACGAACGCUGGCGGCGUGCCUAAUACAUGCAAGUAGAACGCAGUUGGGAAGGGGGGAGGAAGGCGUAGGUAACCUGCCUCAUAGCGGGGGAUAACUAUUGGAAACGAUAGCUAAUACAGAAGAGUGUGAGAUGGACCGUCGUUGUAUUAGCUAGUUGGGGAGGUAAAGGCUCCCCAAGGCGCCGAUACAUAGCCGACCUGAGAGGGAGCACGGCACCACUGGGACUGGGGAACUGCCCAGACUCCUACGGGCGGCAACAAGAGGGAAUCUUCGGCAAUGGACGGAAGUCUGACCGAGCAACGCCGCGGGAGUGAAAGAGGUUUUCGGAUCGUAAAGCUCUGUUGUUAGAGAAGCGGUAACUCCCCCUCAAGGGACGGCUAACUACGUGCCAGCAGCCGCGGUAAUAC